rnacentral:rRNA from 1 species
CCUACGGGAGGCAGCAGUGAGGAAUAUUGGUCAAUGGACGAGAGUCUGAACCAGCCAAGUAGCGUGAAGGAUGACUGCCCUAUGGGUUGUAAACUUCUUUUAUAUGGGAAUAAAAUGUUCCACGUGUGGGAUUUUGUAUGUACCAUAUGAAUAAGGAUCGGCUUACUCCGUGCCAGCAGCCGCGGUAAUACGGAGGAUUCGAGCGUUAUCCGGAUUUAUUGGGUUUAAAGGGAGCGUAGGUGGAUUGAUAAGUCAGUUGUGAAAGUUUGCGGCUCAACCGUAAAAUUGCAGUUGAAACUGGCAGUCUUGAGUACAGUAGAGGUGGGCGGAAUUCGUGGUGUAGCGGUGAAAUGCUUAGAUAUCACGAAGAACUCCGAUUGCGAAGGCAGUUCACUGGACUGCAACUGACACUGAGGCUCGAAAGUGUGGGUAUCAAACAGGAUUAGAUACCCCGGUAGUC